GACGUAGGGCGCGAGCGUUGUCCGGAUUUACUGGGCGUAAAGGGCUCGUAGGCGGCCAACUAAGUCAGACGUGAAAUCCCUCGGCUUAACCGGGGAACUGCGUCUGAUACUGGAUGGCUUGAGAUUGGGAGAGGGAUGCGGAAUUCCAGGUGUAGCGGUGAAAUGCGUAGAUAUCUGGAGGAACACCGGUGGCGAAGGCGGCAUCCUGGACCAACACUGACGCUGAGGAGCGAAAGCCAGGGGAGCAAACGGG
rnacentral:rRNA from 1 species